rnacentral:tRNA from 1 species
UGUUGGCAUAGUUUCACAAAAACAUUAGGCAGUGGCCCUAAAAACAGAAGUUCAAUUCUUCUUGCUAACC